UGAGCUGGGUAUGUGCUGCAGGGGAUCAUUAUCUCGCCGUGAAACUACAUCUGGCUUCUAGGCUGAAAUGAGUUUCUAAAAUCCUGGCCCUCCACCUCUGAACGAAAUUGACCAUUACUCCCAGAGCUGAGCACUCGCCUGGAGCACAGAUGGUCAGGCUGGUGAGGAAUUAAGCGAAAACAAAUUGGGUGGAAACAUUAGAGCAUCAGUCGGAGAGAAAUCUCCGUGGACCGCCAGGGAAAGCCAGGCUCCGGAGCAGGAAGCACACACAUCGGGCAUUGCACUUCGCUUGGUGGCAGGAGGUGGGGACUAGCGGAUGAGCUGCAGUUCAUCUUUCUUUUCUUCCGUCAAUUCCUGACCACCACCGUGGUGACUCAAUGUUUUAAGAUUGCUUAGUGGGACUAUCAAGUUCUUUGUUCAGCUGUGAAAUUUACAUAUUCUUCAUUGCUUUCUCUUACUAUGAGUGCAAGGGUUGAAUUUAAACGUGGGGAGACAUAGACAAGAUGAUGGACCCUUUAUAAAGUGUU